rnacentral:misc_RNA from 1 species
AGCAGCCGCGGUAAUUCCAGCUCCAAUAGCGUAUAUUAAAGUUGUUGCAGUUAAAAGCUCGUAGUUGAAUUUCGGGGUUAGUAGGUUGGUCAUGCCUCUGGUAUGUACUGGUCUCACUGAUUCCUCCUUCCUGAUGAGCCGUAAUGCCAUUAAUUUGGUGUUGCGGGGAAUUUGGACUGUUACUUUGAAAAAUUAGAGUGUUUAAAGCAAGCUAACGCUUGAAUACAUUAGCAUGGAAUAAUGAAAUAGGACGUUCGAUCCUAUUUUGUUGGUUUCUAGGAUUGACGUAAUGAUUAAUAGGGAUAGUUGGGGGCAUUAGUAUUCAAUUGUCAGAGGUGAAAUUCUUGGAUUUAUUGAAGACUAACUACUGCGAAAGCAUUUGCCAAGGAUGUUUUCAUUAAUCAAGAACGAAAGUUAGGGAUCGAAGACGAUCAGAUACCGUCGUAGUCUUAACCAUAAACUAUGCCGACUAGGGAUCGGAUGAUGUUAAUUUUUAAUGUACUCAUUCGGCUACCG